rnacentral:lncRNA from 1 species
AACUGUUUGACAAGAGUCGAAGUCCAAGGUUCUUUUUUACAGGAUUUGAGCUACUUCUUUUAUUCUUCUUCCAUGUUCACUGAUACGAAGCUUUGAUGUGGUGUUCUGAGAGCGGGUGGAAUUUGAGAUUCUCCUUUCUUCUCUAUAUGAAGGUGCUUGUCAUGUGUCAAGAAAAAUAAAAUUAUUUACAAAAGAUUAUUUUAAGGAGAUUUAUUAUUAUUCGUGGAUCGGGAAGCUCAAAAAAUUUUCUUAUGUAGACUCAAAUCAUUUCUAUAGGGCGAAGCAUAUGAAUGAUACAUAUUAUCUUUUUUUGGCCUUAUGUAUUGUUAUUUGCAGUGUGAUUUGGUCUAGCUUAAGAGCUUAAGCUUGCAGGCUGGAUUUGUCUGACAUGGAACAAUUUAAUUUGUUCAUCGUGAUGUUUAUAUCCAUUUUGUACUACUAUCAAUUUCAAUCAUGGCUAAUUUUUAUAUGUAUUUCUCGUGGACUCUCAGGUUCAGUGCACAAGAGGAUGAAGACGAUGGACACCCAAAUUUGAUGUGGAGAACAACUAUUGCAAAUGGUCCUUGAUUUACUUCUCCAAUUGACUUGAAUUGGUUUGACGCAAUUUAUAGUGUAUUUUUGUCAUCUUUGUAUGACUGGCAGGUCGUCCUGAUUUGGUACAUGACUGGACACAGGAAUUGGACUCAUAUUUUUCAAACCAGAAUGCCAACAAUCAAGCAUUUUCUUUUGAAAGCACUGGCGUCUUCUUCAGUGCCAAAAAGGUUAGAGAUUUUCUGUAUCCUGUUUUGUAUUUGAUCAGUUUAGCAUGUGGGUGGCAAUCAAGAAAAGUUAUUAUAACAUUUUUGUGUUCCCGAAAAACUGCUGCUGAUGUGUAGUGCAGGAAAUGAAUUGUUUGUGACUUCUUUUUAUUUGUAUUCUUUCUUUUUUCUUUUCUCCCCAACAGAAUUACGUAUUUCUGAAGAGCUUCUUGAAGUUGAUUACCAUGUAUGCCACUUUCUUUACUCUAUGCUCAGGAUGUGAUUUUGUUUAGGUCAGAACCAUCAUCUAAAGUUUACUUAAUGCUGCCGAGAAGCUGUAGUAGAGCAAUGAAGGCUGUUGGUGUUAUGAAGGCCAGCUGUGAAGAAAUAUUUGAACUUGUAAUGAGCAUGGAUGGGACACGAUACGAGUAUGCUUCUUUUCUAUUUUUUAUUUUUAGUUACUUUAACAUAAUCAAGACUAUAUUGGCUGUCUGUGUAAGCUGAGUAUUAUAUUUCCUCUUGUAUGCUGUGAAAUUCACAUUGUCUCCAGUCCCGAUUCUGUAUGUGCCUUUUUGAAUAUAUUUAAUUAAUCUGCAUGGUGCUUUCUAAAGAUUAUUACAAACUUUUGUUGCUUAAGUAUAUGAAGAAUGUGGAAAUGAAAAUAGCUUUUGAAGUUUGAUGGAUUGCUUCAUUAAUAAAGAAAGACUAGGACUCAUUUUUAUAACUUUUCUCCACUUAGCUAAUGGUAUUUGAUGAAGACAAAAUAGAUGUAGCUAUCUAUAUUUUUUGUUGCUGAACUAUAGAUCAAUUGAUGGUUGAAGUUAGUUAUAUUAAUUUGUUGUACUAGAUUAAAGCUUGUAUCUUAGCCAUUUCAUGAAGUGUCAAAUACGUUCUUUCCUCUUUUUUUUUUUUUUCGAAACAUGUUACACUUUUGAAGUCACUAUUACAUAAAAGAGUGUUCUAAAACAGGAGAAGGCGUGCUGCCUGAAAUUACCUGUUUCCUAGCAAAUCUAGCUGGUUUGCGAAUUAGAUUUUAACAAGUCUCUUGGCAAGGUUUGCUAGUAAUGUGUUCAAAUUAUUCUAUUUAAUUUUACUGUCUGUACCCUAAUAAUUCUUGGUUUGCACCAUUGCAUUGUUCCAUAAUCUCUGUGCGUUGGCUUAUAAAGGCCAGCAAGGCUGAUCAUUUGUCGAAUAGUUAUUUCCAUGAAAUUCCUAUCAAUUUGACUCAGUAUUUAGAGGUCUUGAAGAGGGCAGUGUACUAGACAUGGAUUUCUACCUCUUUUGGUUGUACAAUUGUUGUAUUUCUUGGCCAUCAGAUCUUUUUUAUGUACCUUUCUCAAAGUUCUUGCCGCACGUACACCGUUUUUCAUGUUUUGUGCAGGUGGGAUUGUAGUCUUCUGUAUCGCAGCUUAGUUGAAGAGGUAGAUGGUCAUACGGCUAUUCUCUAUCAUAGGCUUCAGCUGGACUGGCUUCCAAUGUAAUAGUCUCUUGAUUCAAUCAUCUCAUUUAUGCUUUGGUCAGAAUAGAACAUUUAUUGUUCUUCUUUCCCCUUUCCUCUCUUCUGAUGUAAUAUGUGAGGAAAUUACCUAAAAUUUCUGUAUCCCAAUGUAAUUGUUGGCAUUCAGAAAUAAAAUAAAUACACCGUCUUGUUUUUCCCUCGGUUCAGUCCUAAGUUCUCUUUGGGCCUUCUGCAAGUUUUUAAACAUACUGUGACAGUAAAAAAUCUAGUGAUUGAGAUCAUUUUGAUGAAUUUAAUUUUAAUUCUUAGCUGAUACUUUUUCUGGAAUUUUUUUCUUAUGUUUCCUCAAUAUGACUUAAAUAUAGGGCUUAGUCAUGGAUCAUGCACCAGAGUGAUGGAAGCACCCCUUGUUUAUUAGGAAAAGCAGUUGAUUGUAACUAUAUCCGCGGUCCUAAGUAGUUAGAAGUAAAUGCUCUUCGAAUUCCUAUAGUACAUGGGAUGUGUUCCCUUUCAAAUAGCUUGUUCAAUACCAUUAACAUGGUUUAACAUUGUUCAUCUUUCUGUAGAUUGAUGUUGACGUGUUCUUCUAGAGUUGCUAAUGGAGUUUUGGGCCUUGUAAUUGGUGUAAUUACGGCAUUGGUGGUUGACAUGGCUUUCCUUGUGCAGGUAUGUAUGAUUGUUUUUUUCCCCCACUUCUAAAUGACACGAGGGAAGAGACAUGAUUUUGAGAUAUUGUACUGCAAUUUGCAUAUUUGCAUACUUGAAUAGUAACUCAAGAAUCAUUUUCAGAAUGGUAUAAUGCUUCGUGUAUGCAGGCAAAUACUACAGAUGAAUUACCGGAGCGGCUGAUUGGAGCUGUACGUGUUUCUUAUAUAGAACUCAAGUCUGCUAUUGUCCCAAAGUUGGAACCAGAGACAUCAUGACUCUGGUUUCAUUUCACCUCAACUGUUUUUUUUUUAAUUGAAAAAAAAAAUCAUUUGUUUUAGGUAUGCAUACAUGUAUUUUGAUCCCGUUUUCAUUGUAAUUUCUCAUUUACUUUGAAAGAAAGUCACUGGUGUUUUCGAAUAGGAAUUUUGCAUUAAAAAAUAAAGAAUACUUAAUAGGAAACUUAAUAAUUCUUUAGUUACUAUUUUUGGAAUGAGUGUAAUAGUAUUGAAGUUGGUUUCUACUCGCAAUCAAGUGAACUACUCGAUCCCCAACUGCGACCGCACUAAUUGUCAUUGUUUAAUAGCCUACUACUUUUAAAACUCAACAACUAAAAAAAUGAUUUUCUUAUGAUGCUGUGAAAACAUUUAUGGGUUCACUUAUUUCCACAAGAUCUAUAACAUGGUCUUGACUUCACGAAAUUCUUUUAACUUAAAGGGUUCUGGUCUGAGAAAGUUAAUUUGACGGAUUAAUUCCUUUUAAUAAUGGUCGAGUUAAUUUUACUAUACUCGUAAAACUAUUAUUAUUCUGAUAAUGCCACAAAUGUUAUGAUGUUUUCUUCAGCCAAUAAUCUUCUAUUAGGACUAGUUAGAAAUCAAAUGCUUAAAACACCAAUUGAAUGAAUAAUGCAGAAGUUUAAACAGUAUCUAAUUGAAAAUUACAUGAAGCAUGAAACAUCAAUUCAAGUCCUUCCUUAAACAGAGAAUGCAUCAAACAAAUCCAAAGUGUCUUGCAUGUCUGUAAAUAAUUGUAAAUGCGUUUAGAUUAUUCAAGUACAGGAGAACAAGCAAGUUGAAUCAUGUACAAGAGGUUGGCCUGGUUCGAGAUAGCUUCUUCACAGUACCUGAAGGGUUGGCUCAAUCUUUUCUUUAGAAUUCUGCACAUUUUGUAAUUACUCGUGUAAGCAAGCAUACAUUACAACCAUAAUAAUAAUAAGGCAAGAGUAAUGAUACGACCACAGCCUCUUGUGCACAAAUAAUAUUGUACAAACUAAUAUGACAUAAUAUGAUUGAUUAAACAAAAACAUAACAUGACCCUCAUAAUUUAUUUAUUAUUAUUUUAUAUUUUCAGUCAAGCAAUCAUAUUAUGCCACAUUAAAUAGAAAUAAUUUACUAGAUAGUGCCAACACUUCAUUGAUACUCACCAUUUCAUUGAACAAUUUUUUUAUAGUGUCAUUGAGGUUGCCUUCCCAACAUCCUUCAUCAUCACCAUCUUCAUCUUCGGUGGGUUUCACUUUGUUUAGCUUUGGUGCGUCUACGACUCCUGGAGAGAAAAUCUUCAUCGUUGGGCAUUGUCUCACAACUACGUGUGCCAAGGACGGGAACUCAAGAGCGUAAUUACCCAAACUAAAGCUUGUUAGGCUUGGCAAACAAUCAAUUCCCAAGUACUCCAAUUUCCUGAAAACAAUGCAAUCUUCCGCUUCUUCUCCAACCUGCGACUGUAUAAUUUCUUCCAUCAUUUUGCAAUCAGUUAUCUUCAUUCUUUCAAGAUUCACUAGACUUUCAGAUGUUGAGAGUGUCAAUAAAUUUAUCAACCCAUGACACUUCGAUACUUCCAGAGUCGCAAGAUUUUCCAAAUGCCACAAAGCUGGUACUAAUUUCUGCAACUUACUACAUUCAAAUAUUUCUAGACUUUUCAAGUUUGCAAACACUUUGUUGGAUUCGGCAUUUUCCUUCCAGAGAUGCUGCACUUUGUGUAAUCCAGAUAGCUUUAACUUCAUCAAUUGAGGGAAUGCAACCUGAAAAUCAACAAAAUUAAGUUGUAAAUGAAAAUAUGUAUCCAAUCUCUACAGUCUUCCCCUACAUAUUUUAUGGACAAGAUUAAUCACGGCAUUUUAUAUUUUAUUUCCAAAUUAGUAUGCUUUGCAGUAGGAUCCCAAAUAUAAGUAUCAAAUCGAUUACCCUUUGAAACACAUAAAUGAAAUCUGAUCAUAAAUCCAAUAUGAAUUAGCUAGGAAAACAAAGAUCUAACACGCAUAAUUUAUGCGAUAUAGUUCAUCACCUCCUGUCACUAGGCAUCUAAUUAAUUUGAGACAUUUUUUUAAUUCAUACUAUAAAGUUAGUUAAUAACUACAAUUAUAUUGUUAAAUCAGAUAUAAAUUAAGACGACGUGCAAAAAGAUAAGUCAUUAAAUUUGAUUUGAUUCUAAUGAAAUUACAUCUAUGCGAAUGAAAGUGAAGGGAAAAAUAAUAAUAAUGAUUACCUUUUUAUCGAAGAGAUGUUGUAUUUGAUUAGCUACCAAGAGGUUCUCUUCUGAUUUUAAUUUUUGAGCUUCCUUAUUAUCUGCUGUCAUGUGCAAUACAGAUGUAGAAUUGGAUAUGAAUGUUUCCAUGUCAGGGCAAUUCUCAAUAGUUAGAUAUCUCAACUCAGGCAGUUCAAUUAUAUUCCCAGUGAAGUUGCAGAAUCUUUUGAGUUUUGGAAGAUCAAUGAGCCUUAGAUUGGAAAGCUUAGGAAACAUGGGGCCUAUAUGUUCUUUGUCAGCAUUUAGCUCUUCCAAACGAAGCACCUCUUCUAGUGAAUCACAAUUCCUCACUUCCAGCCGUCGCAAAUUGUUCAAGCAUCGUAGCAGAUUGGCAGGAAUAGCACUCGACAUAUUCGUGCAGUCAUCCACCACCAGCCGUGCUAAAUUGUUGAAGAAGCUGACAGGCAGUGCUUGGCCAUGCCAUAUUUCUUUCAAACGUGGAAAAUGUGAGAGUUGCAAAUACCAUAUGUCACGGAAUCCAAUCUGCACAAACCAAAACAAUUGCACCGGAUAUAUACAAUUUUUUUUUUGAAAGGCAUUAUAUAUAUACACAUUAAACUUACAUGUUUUGUGUUUUAACUUCUAAAAAUAUAUAUACAAGACCGGGGUAUAUGCUUAAAUGUGCAAUUGCAGGGGAGAUGCAUAAACAAUUUGGGUGAAUCGAUUAACACAUACCAUUUCUUUGUAAUACUUUUGCAUAAUGGAAUUAAGGUUAUUGCCUUCCCAAUGGUGCAGUUCACCCUCUUCCUUUUCAGUCACUUGCACUUUGCAUGGCUUUGGAAUGGAUAAGAUUCCCUGAGAAAAAGUCUUCAUAUUUGGACAACGUAUCAUAGAAACUCGUUCCAGUGAUGGGAAUUCAAGAGUGUAAUUCUCCAAACAAAAGCUGGUAAGCCUUGAUAAAUAAUUAAGUAUCAAAACUUUUAAUUCGCUGAAAGCAAUACGAUUCUCCUUCACUUCUUCUCCAACAUGUCCUACGAUUUCUUCUAUUUUUUGGCACUUCGAUACUUUAAGAUUCACCAAACUACUAGGAAUUCCAACCUGAAAAUAAGCAAAAGUGUGUGUAUAUUAAAAAAGUAAAAAUGUAAGAAUAUCAUUCAACUAGGUUCAAAGUAUGUUUAAUCAUACAAUUAUACGUUUUAUAAAGAUAACAAACCAUGAAAUGUCUACAAGAUAAUUUUUUGUUAAACAAAAAAAGCAACAAGAUAAAUAAAUAAAUAAAAGCCAGAUAAACAAAGAUAUUAAAUGCAUUUACACUAUUUAGUAUUAGGAACGUACGAAGAAUUUAAGGCAAUUUCUAAAUAUUUUAGACUUAUUUUGCAUCUUGAUGCCAGUUUUUAAACAAAAUUUGCAAAUUUCAACUAUUCCUUUUGGGAAAAAAAAAUCAACCAAAAUGCCGCUUUUUCCCUUUUCCCUUGGUCCCUUUUUUUUAUGUAUAUUUAAUUUUGGAAACAAAAUUAAAGUGGAUCUUUAUUAAGUACUUCCAGACUCGAGGAAAUUUCUUUACAAUCAAGGAUCAGUUGUAAAUAAUCGUGAAUUUGUGGUUAAUUAAUGGCAUAAUCAGUUCGUAACUAAACAAGAGAUAUUAAUUAAAUUUGAAGACUUUUCUUUUCUUUUUUUCUUUUUCCAAUCGAAAUGUGAAGAAUUAAGGAAAAGAGAAAUAUAUAGAUGAAUUUGUGAACCUAUAAGAUGAGUGACUAUCCUUUAAUUUUUGAAAAUUGUACUUAUUAAGAUAUGAGCAGAAACAAUUAAAUUGAAUUAUAUUAUGAUGUUGAAUCGUGAUUAAAAAAAUUAUAUUGUUGAUUCUAAUGCUGGCGAACCUAAAAAAUGGACUUAAAAUGUAGAUUUGAGAGUGGUGGUUCGAAAUACAAUACUUGAAAUAAAUAAUCAGUGGCUGAAUAUCAUUUGUAAACCCAAAAAUGGUUAAAAUAUUGUUGGAUGUAAUUUAAAAAAAAAAAGAUUCGAAAUGAAUACAACGACCUUACCAAUGGAGGAAAAAUAUUCAUUAGGUUAUGACACUUAUAUAUCUCCAAAUUCUUCAAUUUGCUGAAAGACUCCGAAGGAAGCUGGUGGUGCCAUAUUUUUCUCAAAUUAUUCAUCCAGCUAAUAUCUAAUACCUCCAACCUAGGAAGUCGUACCUGGAAGUUAAAGAUUAAAUAACUAAUUAAUCAAUUAAUGGCAUAAUCAAUUGAUAACUAAAUUAGAGGCGGAUAUUAACUAAAUUUGAAGACUCAAGGAAAAGACAAAUUAAGUAUUGUGACUAAAAUUAAUUUUAUUUAUUAAAAAAAAAACCUUUUCGUCAAAGAGAGGAGGAGGUUGCAUUUCAGAAUGAUUGGUGUCUUCUGGUGAGCUCGUAGAGAUGAAUCUUAACAUAUUACUGCAAUUACCAAUCUCGAGGUUUAGCAAAGAAGGGAAUUCAACAACUAAAUCUGAAUGAAUAUGUCCUGUAUUGGCGAAGCUUGUCAGUUCUGUAAGCCAAUAGAGCUGCAGGGAGUGUAGUUUAGGAAAAACCUUUAAUUCAAUCAACUUUCCUUCAUCUCUUUCUGACCACCCCGUGGUGUCGACUACCCCUUCCAUUGACUCACAAGACCAUAUUUCAAGAUGUUGGAGUUGCAAAAGACUAUUAACCAUAGAAUACGAAAACAGAUACUUCAUACGAUCACAACUUCUCACGUACAGCUUUGUUAAAUUUUGACAACAGUACAUUCCUUGAUUAUGAUCGGCCCAUAAUUUUUUGAUGUUUCUUAAUUCCGUGAGAUUCAAUUCCUCUAAGCUCGGAAGAAGAACCUGCAAAGAAAAGCCGUACAUUUUUGUUCCUUCAAGUACAACCGUCUAGUAUAAUAUUCUGUUGAUGAUCGAAGAUUAAUCGUGAUAAUAAAUUAAUCAAUUAAUUAUUGAACAGAAAAUUAUCACCUUUGGAGCAGUAUCAUCAUCAGCAAUGAUUUCGUUGAAUCCCAAAGAAGUUGUUGGUUUCUCCCUGUCGGGUCCUGUAAACAAACAAAAACAAUAUACAUAAUUAAUCUUUGUCGUUGUCUUUUUUUUUUCAAAAUAAUUGAGGCGAAGUCCAUAAAUCCACCAACACUUAAUUUCAACACUUACCAACAGUCAUUUCCAGUUUAUUGCAGGAAGCCACUUUGACCUUUUGAAGCCGCAGUAGGUUUCUGGCUAUGGAAAAUGAGAAAAGAUGCUUCAAUUUAUCACAGGAUUCUACUUCUAUAAUCUUUAAGUUGCUGAAAAAUUGAUCUUCUCUGAGUUGGCUGUGGCAUAUGGCCUCCAAAUUGAUCAAUUUAUAGAGAGACAAUGACUCCAGCAAGGGGAAGACUUUGCGAUGAACCCGUCCAACUGAACCGACAAUGUGUAAAAUCUCAGAACACCUUUCUACCCAAAGAUGCUUCAAUCGUGGAAAACCUUCCCCAUCAUCUAAUUCAUGAACAACAUUCUGAACACCCGUCAGUUCCUCUAGACGGAUAUCUUCAGUUAACUUCAGCAACAUUUUCAUCCCAUAAUUCUCCAAAAGAGUGCUAACAUUUUCUAACCCAUGGAGCUGCACCAAUCUUGAUGUUUCAGAAUUAGCGCGCCAGAUGCCCCACGCUUCUCCUAUACAUAUCCUAUAUCUUGGCAAUUCGACAAAGACCAAAUCCUGCGGCAGCAUUUGGGCAUCCUGAACUUGUAUCUCCAAAGUAGUUAGCUUUGACAGCCCCUUCAAUUCAGCAAGACUGGCGUUACUUCCUCCUUCAACCUUAUCCCACUGCGGAAAGCUGUCACCCAUAUAUAGUUCUUCCAAUCGAGAAAAUUUUGAUAUGACAUUUGGUGCUAUCACUACAAGGCUGCUACAAUUGCUCAAAUCUAGCAAUUGUAACUGCGCCAAUUGACCAAUUUCAAGUGGCAACUGCUUAAUGUCGGAAUAUCGAAAGCUAAGAAUCUCUAAUUUCUUUAGCUGUCCAAUUGCCGCUACAUCUUCUAGUUGGCACCAGUCUAAACACAAUGUUUGAAGGUUAAUGAGGUGACCAAGUGAUGAAGAUAAUGAAGAGAAAUGAAUUCCGCUAAGACUUAAAACUUUGAGAUCUUCCGUCCCUUCAAAAAAGAGGUGUGAAAUUUCCAAAUAGCUAUCACCAUUUGCAAGCAACAGUAAUAACUUGAGUUGGGGACAUUCCAACCUUUCGGGAAGCUCUUGAAUAUCUCCAUAAGGUAUAGAAAUAGCAAUUGCACCUUUCUGUAUGAUCUUUUCUAUCUCUUCCUUCAAGUUGGUAACAUUUGGGAUACUAAACAUGAGCUUCUCUGAGGCAAUUGAUACGGCAACAACAUGAAUGACGUCAUGCAUUUUAACUUCAUCUUCAGCAUCGCCGUCCAACAAUAAGCAUGAAGCUUUGAGAUUGUCGAUCAAUGCGUCCACUCUAUUCCUUGCAUUUUCCAAUGUGCGAACAUUUUUAAACAAACCCUUACCAUAUCUCAACAAGGAAGCAACUUGUAUAGGAGUACCUUCACCAAAUAGAGUACAAAGAAGGAACAAAGAUUUUGCUUCAUCACUUUCCAAGAAGUUGUAACUCAAUUCUAUGGAAGAGCAGACAUUUGCAUCCAUUCCAUGAAUUUCUCUUGGAUUAGAAUUUCGCAGCUGAGUCAACGCAUCCUUCCAAACGGGAAGCUUCUUAUUUUUCAGAGCAUUUGCAACUGUACUCAGUGCAACAGGCAAUCCUCCACAUUUUCCAACAAUCUCAUCUGCUAAAGGUUGAAAAGCAGAUGCUUUUGCGGAAUUGCCCACGAUCUUUUCAAAAAAUUGCAAUGCUUCUUCCUUUGAUAAAACUUCAAUUAGGAAAAUCUUCUGAGAAUUCAUAUCAUUGGUCAAUAAAUGUUUACUUCUAGACGUCAAUAUUAUCGUGCGUCUCCUUAGAUCUUGCUUUCUAUCUUUCUCAUCAACAUCCCCAAAAGGAAUUCCAAUUUCUUCCAACCCAAGUUUUUUCCAAAUAUUAUCUAAUAUAAUGAGGACUCGCUUCUCUUUCGUCAAUCUUUGACAAAGUUGUUUUGCUCUGUGGGGUUUGCUAUCAUUCAAGUCAAAGUUCAAGUCUAAAUCGGAAGCGAGCUUGUCUUGAAUUUUCUGAACAUCUGGGUUCUCUGUUACCUCAGCCAUAACGACCUUAUCGAACACCUUAUCUUCCAUAACUUGCUUUGCAAUUUGCUUGACUAGCGUGGUUUUACCCACGCCGCCCAUACCGUGGACCCCAAUUAUGUUGAGCUUAUCAUUCCUCAAUGCCUCCACAACAUCUUGAAAUAAUUUCAUUCUUGAAUCAAAGGCCUCGAAAUCUUUCGCUUGCAUAUGUUCUGUACUCUCUGGAGCAGGACGGUGGGAAACACUAGAGAAGUUGCCUUUUCCCACGAGACUAGCGGCAGCUUCUGCGGCCUUUGCUGCUUGUUUACUAAGUUUAUAACGAGAAAUCAAGUUGGGGCAAAAUCCUUUGAAGCAGGACUUCUUAGCUCUAUCUUCAUCAUCAAUGAUGGAUUUUGCAACCCCUUCACUGAUGAAUUCAUCAACGUUAUUAAGCCAGUCUGCAACAUCCUUGUAAAUCUCAUCUCUUUGUUGAGUAGCCUCACGAACGGGUAUUCCCACCCUUUCUCUUUUAUAUUCUAGCUCCUUCACUUGAACUUUUAGCUCAGCUAUGUAGCUCUGGUACUUGAACACAUAAGAGAUCUGCCGCAUAAUCGGUUCGAACAAUGCCUUUGCACCUUCUGUUACAAUGCCGGAAAAAGUAGUGGAAACCAGGUCUGCAGCCAUUGCCUAGCCUGUUGCUUUCAUACAUACAUACAUACAUAUAUAUAUAUAUAUAUUAGCUGUUGGAAAAAUUAGAUUCAAAUAAAUUAAAAUGAACUAGGGGAAAGACGGAGAAAGAAAUGACAACCAACAACUUUUUAAAAAAAGGUUUCAAGGGCCUGAAUGGAAAACCAACAAUUUAAAAAAAAAAUUGUAAGAUGGAUGCAGAUUAACCAUUGCUAAUAUUACAUAAGAACACAGAAGUUAACAAUGAACAGUACGUAGAAAAUUAAAUGACAAGAUUAAAACAAACAAGGGCUAUUUUUUCUUGGACAAUUGUACCUAUUUAAUUAUUAAAGAGUUAAUGACCUUCACUGCUGGCCUUGAAUAUAUAAGAACGACCAGAAGAUGAAUAUUAACUGCAGACGAAUGUAAGUAAAGAGUUCAUGAGAGUGAGUAAUACAAAUGAAUUGUAAAAGAACAAGACUUAAGUGUGACCCCAUCUUUUGUUUUAUUAUAUAAAUAGAACACAUGAUCAUUUUUAACAAAGUGAUCAAUAACUCUAUGCGUUAUUUAAUUGAUAUUGUAACCAAUUUUAAGGGAAUUUAAUAAUAAUCAUUCAAUGCAUAAAUUUAAAAUUAGAUUUUUUUAAUUCUUUAUUUAAAUAUAAAUCUUAAUGGAAAAUUAUAAAAAUUUAGAGAUAAAAUUUUUCAAUCACCAAGGAAAAAAAAUGGGAAUGAAAACAGAGGAAUCUUGUUUUACCUUUUUUUUUUUUUCCUUAACUCUUGUUCCUAUACAAAUAAUCUUGUUUUGAUGAUAGUGCUCGUGACUAUGGGAAAAUUUCUAAUGGAAACAACUCAAUUUCGGAAGAUAAGCUUAAUUCUGCAAGUGAUGAAUUUGUUCAAUUGACUCUGUACUUGAACUCGUUGGAUUGGUUGAUUUACGAUUGACUGCAUUUCAAUUCUGCCUAAAAGAUCUUUUUAAUAGCUAUCAUGUACUCCUUAAAAGCAAUCAUUUUUAGAUUUGACUGAAUUUGAACUUGUUGGAUUGGCUGUUUUUAGAUUAUUGAUAUGAGAUACUACAAUGUAAACAUUUUCAUGUGGCUGAGCCCUAUUCUAAAAUCUGUAUGUUGCUUUAGAAAAAGGGCUUUUCCUACUGAUAUUUAAUCUUCAAGUAAACUUAGAUAUAAAGUAAAUCAAAUAAAAUGACAAACAAGCAAUAUAAUAAAAGACAACAAACUGGCAAUAUUGAUACAAAGGCAACAGAUAUUAAACUUUAGGACAUUUUUUUCCUAGCUUUCAUUUGUUGGAGGAUUAGAGAUUUUGGUAUUACCGGAAAGCUAAAAGGUUUCAAGGGUCUGAGUAGAAACCUAUAAUCUUUUUAAAAACUUUCUUUUUCUUUUUUCUUUUUUCUUUUUUUGGGGGGGGGGGGGGGGGGGGGGGGGGAAGAAUGCAAGUUAACCAAACGAAAUAAUAAGAGCACAGGCUUUAACAAUGAACAAUAACUUAAAACUCAUGCAAAGUAAAUUCAAUAUUAAAACAAACCAGAGAAAUUUUUUUUCUUGGAAAAUAGAUGGAAAUUAUGAAAGAACAGAUGUCAAGAUCAAAGAUCUACUAUACACAAACACACACAUUAGAGGAUUUGGAAAAUGUGCACCUCUUUAAUUAUCUGGGAUUAGAGAGUUGGUGAGAUUCUCCAUUUGGCCUUGAAUAUUUAAGAACAACCUCAAAGAGCAAAAAGAUCACCGGUAACUGCCGAGGAAUGUGUAAGAAAAGGGUUGAUGAGAAUAAUAACAUUGACUUGCAGAAGAAAAAGCAUUAAUCAAGCACCCCUUUUUUAUAUCAUGUAUUUGGUUAUUGUUGCCCUGUUUACGCACGUAUAGGAUAAUUAUAUGCAAUCUUUUUUUAAAAAUCCACAUGCACUUUAGGGCUUCUUUCAUAAAAGCAGAUACCGGAAACACACAAAAAUCAUUUGAGAGAGAAACCGAACAGCAAAUCAUCAAAGUAAGAUCAACAAUAUAUGAUUUGAUUAAUGCAUAUUCAAGAACAAAACAAAAAUAAAUAAAUNNNNNNNNNNNNNNNNNNNNNNNNNNNNNNNNNNNNNNNNNNNNNNNNNNNNNNNNNNNNNNNNNNNNNNNNNNNNNNNNNNNNNNNNNNNNNNNNNNNNNNNNNNNNNNNNNNNNNNNNNNNNNNNNNNNNNNNNNNNNNNNNNNNNNNNNNNNNNNNNNNNNNNNNNNNNNNNNNNNNNNNNNNNNNNNNNNNNNNNNNNNNNNNNNNNNNNNNNNNNNNNNNNNNNNNNNNNNNNNNNNNNNNNNNNNNNNNNNNNNNNNNNNNNNNNNNNNNNNNNNNNNNNNNNNNNNNNNNNNNNNNNNNNNNNNNNNNNNNNNNNNNNNNNNNNNNNNNNNNNNNNNNNNNNNNNNNNNNNNNNNNNNNNNNNNNNNNNNNNNNNNNNNNNNNNNNNNNNNNNNNNNNNNNNNNNNNNNNNNNNNNNNNNNNNNNNNNNNNNNNNNNNNNNNNNNNNNNNNNNNNNNNNNNCCCCAGGGGAAAAUCUGGAAUUCCUUUUUUUAAUUUUUUUUUUUUUAAAAAAACCCCACCGGAAAUUCUUAAAAUUUGGAAAAAAAAAUUUUGAGUCCCUUAUUCUGGGGGGGGGGGGGGGGGGGACGAAAACAGAGGAAACUUGUUUUACAUUUUUUUGAUCUUAACUCUUGUUCUUAUAUAAUAUUUUCCCUGGGAUUUCAGGCAAACCAAACAAAAAAAAAAAAAUUCAAUAAAGAGCAAGUUGCUCUAAUUGAUUUAUCUUGUUUUUCAGGCUAUUUUGUGACAUGAUGAUAUGUAAUGCUCUUGAAUGCUAGAAAAAUUCUAAUGCAAACAUUUUUGCAAAUGACGAAUGUAAAUAACUUUUUUUGAUUAAUUGAAUCUCUAAUACUCUUACCCUAUUCUAAAAUUUGUAGGUUGCUUCAGAAAAAAAGGGUAUUUCUCACUCAUCUUCAAUCCUCAAGCACAAUUAGAUUAAAAGCAAAUCUAAUAAAAUAACAAACAAAUUAACAAAAAAAAGAAAAAGAAAAAAAACAAUGUUGAUCUUGAGACAAUUGAUACUUAAACAGAGAAUUCUUUGUUCUUUUUUUACUCCCCCUGGCUCGAGGAUUAGAGUCUUUCUUUGCUAUUAACAGAGAGGUUUUAAGGGUCCGAAUAAAAACCCGCGCUUUUUUUAAAAACUUCUUUUUUUUUUUUUAUUGGGGAAGAUAGAUUCAAAUUAACCAAAGCUAGUAAUAAGAACACAGGCCUUACAAAUGAACAAUAACUUACAACUCAAGCAACAUAAAUAAUAAGAUUAAGACAAACAUGAGAUUUUUUUCUUCGAAAGUAGAUGGAAAUCAAGUAAGAACAGCUAUUAAAAGAAAUUACUAGAGAAUUUAGAACAUGUGUACCUCUUUAAUUAUUUGGGAUCAGAGAGUUGAUGAGCUCUCUAUUCGCCUUGAAUAUUAAGAACUGGUAUUAAAAGAAAUUAUGAAGAACAAUUUUAGUGAGCGAUAGAUCACUGUUAACUUCAGAGGAAUUUGUGAGUAAAAAGCUGAAAAGAGCCGUAAUAAUGAAUUACAAAAGAAGAAGACUUAAUCAAGCACCCCUUUUAUACCCGAUUUUUAAGAUUUAGUCUUGAAGUUCACAAUCAAGAACAAAGACGAAGCUUUAAUAAAGCAUGCAGUGAGAUACAAGAAAUGGAUCGGGCAAAAUACCUUACGAAGCGUUUCAUAUUUUCUAAUGAAAUAAUUAAGUUGAAGUUUUCGACGAAUAAAUACUUGUUGUGCUUGAAUAAUUUUGGCAUAUACGUUACUUGUAUCCUGCGAAAUUGAAAAGCACAUUGGUUUAUUAGAGCUUAUUAGGAGGGAAAAGCUUUGUAAGAUACCUGAUAAAAGAUAAAGUAAAAGCUUGAAUGAAGAAUGACAUUUUAGAAAGAAACUAAAGUGCAAUCAUCAAAGUGGGAUCAAUAGUGACUUGAUAUUUCAAUUGUUCUGUCCACAAAUGAUGCUUCGUUAUUACUAAUUCCAGAUGGACAUUAUUAGAAAAUGAUCUUAUGUUUAACAGAAAAAUAAAAACUCGUCAUCAUACAAAACAGCGUGAAGAAAUCUUCAAUUUGAUUAUUAUAAAAUAAUAAGUUUCAUUACUAGAUUAUGCGGACAUUAAUGUUAGAGAUUUGAUCAGAUUAUCAUAUAAUUUACUAAACGCUUUGAGAAGAACAAUAAUUAAUUUUUAAAAAAUUGAAAAAUAAAUUAAAUAAAGAGUACACGCAAAUAAUGUUACUUCCAAUCACCAAACUGAAAAACAGGGGAAUGAUAACAGACGAGUCCCUGAUUAUCCUCUCUCUCUCUCUCUCUUUUUCAAUCUCUCUCUUUGAUAUCCAUAUCUGAGCAUCAGAGCUUGACAUCUUUGAUAAAUAAAUAUGCUUACUGGUACUGUUUUUGCAUAUGUCUUUCACAAAAUCAUUGUAUACGCUUACAUAGAGAAGAAGAUUCAGAUAACUUUCAAAAUCUGAAUCCGCCUGAUGGACAGGCUUGACCACACAGCCCCGAGACAAGGAAGUCCAAGCAACUAAUCUAAACCGUUCUCCUUUAUUAGCUAGAUUUAGUAUUUGGGUUCUUUAUGUAAAACGACACUAUGAUCUUGAAAUUUUGAUUUAAUUAAUAAAUAGUUAAAUUCUUAAUGUUUCAGGAGUAGAUACAUAGACUCUCUUCUAAUUUUAGUCAUUACAAACAAUGCCAUUGUGCGGUUAUACUAUUGCUUCUUUUAUGAAACCAUUCUCACCAUCACAUAGAUCUUGGCAUAUAGAGUCUCAUAAUGUCAUCAAAUAAUUUUUUUUUUUUUUAAAAACAUAAAAUAUGAUACAUGUAUUCAUUUUUUUUCAAAUUAGGGUGUAUUAUUCUUAAAACUUAAGUGUUCUACUUAUAAAUAUCUUGAAGGUGUGAGUGUUUUCUUUUCGUAAACAAACCGUAAAAGAAAAAGAGGAACAAUAAUUUUUUACUUAUCCUUAGAGAUAAGAUUCAAUCGGGAUGUGAGUAAGUGUGUUUUUCUUUUUUUAUUAUGCUAAAUUAUCGAGUCACAAAGCAUAUUGAUUCAAAAGUAUAACUUUAUACUGAUGAUAGAUAAUUUCAAAACAAUGGAAUGAAAACAGAGGAGCUCCCCCCUCCCCCACCCCAAUCCCCGCCCCCCCCCCCCCCCCCCCCCAAAAAAAAGUUCUUCUUCUUUUAUAUAUUUUUCUUGGAAUUUUAGGUAAAAGAAAAAAAAAACUGAGAUUGAUUUCAAGGGAACAGGUGGAUAAUAACUAAAAUACUUAUUUUUAUAUAUUUGAUAUGUGCGCUCACUAUUAAUAGAACUUAUUAGAUACUACAACUUAAAUAACUUCCCAUGGUUGAUUGAGGGUAUGUUUGAGAUUUCCUUUACUUUCCAAGAAUUAAUUUCUACCUUGAUUCUGAACAAAAAAAUAAUUUUACAAAUAAUCUAUUAGGGUGUUUGGUAAAUGAUGAUUAUUUGACAAUCAAUUUUUAAACGGUUUACUAUACAAAUCUGGUAAAUGAAAAUUAAAAGUGUAAAAUGUUCAUGUACAAUGACAAAAAUGUACUUGUUUACUUGUUUGUAAUUUAUUUAGAAUAUUAUUAUUUAAAUCUUUUUUUAUUUACAAGAUUUUUUAAGAGCAUAUUCUAUUUUCUUUAUUACAUAUUUAAAUAAUUUUUUAUUAACUAUUUUAAUUUGCAAUAAAAUUAACUUCAAUAUCUUUUUAACUAAAAAAUUUGUUAUGUAGUUCGUGAUAUAACAAAUACUAACAUAUCAUUAGUUUGAUUAAUAAAUUAAGUGCAAAAAAGAAAAUGCAAAAAUUUAAUCUUUAUAUAAACUUUUAUGUACAUAAAAUCAUUGUAAUCAAACUAGUUCAUAGAAAUAUAAUAUUAUAUACAUGUGUGUAAAAAAAAAAAACAUAUGACCAUAAUAUUAUCCACUCAUUAAACUUGCUGCACUAUUAUUUCUCAAUCUCUCCAUCUCUCGACCUUCAAGAACAUUACUACCAUAAUCUUCUUCUUCUUGAAUCCAACCUCUAUUUCCUCAUCAUCAACAAUGCGACCAAUUUGCCUUGAUAGCCUUUCAACUAGAAUAGAGUUGGCAGUAGAUAUUUUAGUACUCUCAAACUAUGCCCAAACAGGGUCACCAGUGAUUGUUGUAUUAAAAGACAUUCUAUUUAAUUUUCCUCUGACUCUGGGUCGAUACCUUUUAUGCAAAAUCUAUUUACUUAAGGAAUUUUCUACACAUGUCGAUAUCAUAUUAAAGUGAAUUCAGAUCCUAUAUUAUUGACAUUAAAAUUUAGCCGAAUAGUAAAAAAUUUCCCUUUUUGUUUGUCACACAACCAUAUAGUCCCAUUUUUGGUUAUAAGCUCACAAUAUGUAAGGGAAAUGAAGAUCUAUUAAAACUUUCCCAUAAUAUUAAACAUUAAACAAUAUCAACAUUUUGUGCAUAUGGUGCCUCAUCAACAAUUUGAUGUUCAUUUUGUUGCUCGGAGGAAUAUGACUACCUAUUAAUUAAUUAGCAAGAAUUGCGUUGCGAGUCCAUGUUUUUGUCGUUUGGAUGGAGGAUGUGCCAUCUUUUUAUUGUAGAUGCUUUGUAAGGCUUUUGAUUUAAUGAUUUAAUGCAGUCAAUUAACAAAAGCUUACAUAUAUUAUUAUGUAGUUGCUGAGAUGUCUGUUCUUGAUAAAGUCGAUUUAUUUACACCCAAGCCAACGGAAUCAAAGCCUUUUCGUUAAUAAUAUACACGGUAAUUGUUUUUGUUAAAUUGAUUUCUGGCUAACAAGAUAUUUGAAAGCAUUUAGGUAGCGUUUACAUUUUGCGUUGGAGUGAGAAUCGUGAGAAAUGAGAAUCCUGGGAUUAGGAGUGUGGAGUGGGAGUCGAAGUAUGUUGUUUACUUACACUGAAAUGGAAGUAUGGAAUUGAAAUCAGAAUCCAAUUUAUUUGUUUACAUUGUCUUAGAUUGUGAGUAAUGAUUUUAAAUUACAGCUUUACUCUUAAAGAAUUAUAGUUAUUAAUUACAAAAUUAAUAAAAAUUAUAUUUUUAAAUUAAUAAUAAUUAUUAAUAUUCUUAACUAUGUAAAUCACAAUUAUUUUAUUAAUUUUAAUUUUAAUUAUAUAAAUAAAAAAUUAUUAAUAACAACAAUACAAAUGAAACAUUAUUAUUGAUAAUAUAGUACAAAAUUAAUUUUUUUAGAAUAAAAUAUUUAUUAUUAUUAAUUACUAAUAUUAAAUAAAUAUAAUAGUAUUAUUUUUAAAUAAGUAUAAUAAUAUUAUAUUUUCAAAUAAAAAUAGAAUAUAGUAAUAUUAUUAAUUCUUUAUGAAUAUAAUGAUAUUAUUUUUAAGUAAUUUUAACUUAGAAUCAAUGUAAAUUAUUAUUUUUAACCAAAAAAUUAAUAUUAUUUUAAAUAUGUUUAAUAUUAUUAUUUUUAAUAAAUUUAAUUUAUAAAAUAAUAAAAUAUUAUUAUUUAAAUAAAUAUGAUUUUACUUAUUUUAUUAAAUUUAAUAAAAUAAAUAUGUUUAAUAUUAUUAUUUUUAAUAAAUGUAAUUUAUAAAAUAAAAUAAUAAUAUAAGUUAAAUAAAUAUGAUAUUAUUUAUUUUAUUUUAUUAAAUAUAAGGGUGAAAAAGGAAGAGAGGCGAGUGAAUUUCCACUCCCACCUUCCUCCAUGGGAGUGGGAAUCUCACUCCCCCACUCCAAAAUUAGGUGGGAUCCACGGAGUGGAAUUCUCACUUCCCCUUUGAAAAUUGUAAGUAAACACUGGAGUAAGAGGAAUCCACACUCCUCACUCUCACUCCAAAAAGUAAACACUAUAUUAAAGAAGUCAUUGACUUAUAAGAAAGCCAUGAUUAAAUACACGGCGAAGCAUGUGAGCUCGUUUUUCAAUUUCUUUGAUCACUCAUAAGUAGGGGUGGGCAAAAUCGGAUUCGGAUUGGGUUCGGGUUGAUUUGAUCAAUUUCGGAUCAAUCGGGUUGGGGAAAAAAUCAUCCGAACUCAAUCCGAAUUAUUAACCCGAUCCAAUCCGAUCCGAAUAUAAUUCGGAUCGGAUUGGAUCGAAAAUUCGGAUUAAUUCGGAUUAGAUUCAGAUUUAAAAGCAUUCGGGUUAUAUAUCCAUUCUAUAUUUCUGGGUUAAUUUCAGAAGCAAUCAAGUAAAACAAUCAACCUUUUCUCAAGAUAUAGUUUUGUUUUAAGCUUUUUAAAUUAAAUUAUUUAAAACAAUAUAGUCAAUACCACCAAAAACUUGGUGACAGUGAAUGUGGAGGUGAAUUUAGUUGUAGCAGUUGUGGUAACCGGUGAAGCUAGUGGCAGCAAGCGGUAGCAGUCGAGGUGUAGUAGAUUCCAUCGGCACGUUGCGGUUGCAGCGAUGGCUUAGCUUUGAACGAUCGCGUCGGUGACUGAUGGCUGCUGGUUCACGCAGUUGCAUCUCCGAUUUGCUGGCUGCUGCUUCUUGCGGUUGCAUCUCCGAUCUGCUCGCCGCUGCUUCGCUGACAUCUCCGAUCUCCGAUGGUUUGGCUUCGCACGAUCACAUCGGUGAUUGCUGGCUGCUGGUUCGCGGCUUCGCGCGGCCGCAUCUCCGGUCUGCUGGUUGCUGCUUCUUGCGGUUGUAUCUCCAAUCUGUUGGCUGCUGCUUCGUUGUUUGGCAUCUCAACAUUUCCGAUCUCCGAGGCCAAACCUCUAUUUGUGUGUGACCGUGUGUGAUGUGAGUGUGUGUGUGUGCACUUACAGAUUAUUUUAAUUUAGAUCUAAGAUUUGCUUUUUGUGUGGUGUGAAUCCGAUUUUGUUGUGUUUGCCACUUUGUUAGUUUGUUACACAGUUUUUUUUUUAAGCCAACCCGAUCGGGUUUUCGGAUCGGAUCGGGUUUCAUCCGAUCCGAUCAUGAUCCGAUCGGGUUGGCAAAGUUACAUCCGAUUGGAUUUUGUUAACAAUCCGAUCCGAUCUGAACCCGAUAUUUUUUGGGUCAGAUCGGAUCGGAUCGGGUCGGAUAUUUUGCCCAACCCUACUCAUAAGCUUUUCUAUACCACUCACUAUAUCAUCCUUUUAAGUCAAUUUCGACUGAUCAUCAGAGAUCAUGCACCCCACCUUGAGAUGAUUGAUCACCAAUUUGGCAUUGUAACGUUGAUCACCUCUAAUUGCCCAUGCUAAAAUUGAGACCCCACAGCCAAUUGCUUCUACAGUUGAAUUUUAUCCACAGUGAGAUAAAAAUCCACCUAUUAAUUGAUAACUCGGCAUCAAUAAUUGUGGUGCCAUUCCAUCUAUUAUCAAACCCUUUUUACCGGCUUUACUAUCUAAACCACUAUGAAAAUAAGCUGGUUAAAUGACGUGGAGGAUCCAAUCUAUUUACAUCAGUUUGAAUUACCUAAAUAAUCGGUGGAUUUGAUGCUUCUAAAUCAUUGGCUAAUGUUGAAUAAUCAUUUAAGGUGGGACCCAUUUCGGUACCAAAUGACAUGUAUAACACUGAUCCACAUGAUUUCAAAUCUAACCAUUGAAUGAUCUCAUCUUUGGUCAUGUUAGAACUCCGCCGGUUGGUUCUCAUCUCACAAUCACGAAGCACUGAACCGGUCGAUUUGUAAAAUUGUUCAGGUAACAAUGGGCCCACUCCCCACACUAGCAUCAACACCAUCGAUCCCUCCACUUGCUUCAUCCAGUGUGGUUGAUCACUCGGUUCUGAUGGACCUAUUUUCUCUGAACCGGGUGCACCUCACAAAGGUUGUGGGCCACCAGGAAGGGACCCGUGAGGCCUGCGUUUAAGAUCUGAUUGGAAUAAAGCAACAUCCUUGGGUAACCCAAGAAGUAAAUGGGCCUCUCCCGGUUUGGCAUCCUGGAUGCGAGCCUGCCACAUGGCACACUCCACAGCUGCUGAGCAAGCAUCAGAAGUGAAGAACCCAACAAUGGGAACUUCAAAAUUCUUGAAAACAUCAGCCGUCCAGCCCAUCAUAACGCCGAUGACUACGCAAACAGGUCGGCUUUCGGGUUCCGGGUUGAAAGGAGGUUUCGAAGACCCUGAAGCAUUUGGUUGUGCAUGACAACAUGGAGGUAAGAAGGAGGCGAUGGUAGUAGUGGAGAUGAGGAGGGUAUUUCGGUAAUUUCACAUAGAGGGUAUUGGUGAAGAGAGGAAGGGGUGAUGCUGGUGGUGGAAACGUGAGAGGGAAUAAUGAGGGUAGAUUUGUAAUUACGAGAAGCAAUUUGCUUGCAUAAUUCAAUGCAUGGAAACAGAUGUCCCUGACCGAAGAACGGGACAAUCCAAAUCUCAGCCUCAGCAGCAUUCGCAACAGAGCUUGACAUCUUUUAUGAAUUAUUUGAGACUUAAUUGUUAUUGACUGCUUUUGCCAUCUUUCAUAAAACAUUCUUUGUUAUAUAUUCAAGUAAAUAAAUUUAUCGUUUAAAAUUAAUUUUUCAUGUGGUAAAAGCAAUACUAAAUAUGGGGUGGAGAGAAUAAUUUGUAGGGCAUACCCCCACCAUUUAUUUAAUUUCAUUAAAAAAGAAAGAAAAGAAAUAAAGGCUUGUUCAACAUUCAAUUAAAAUUAACAAUUCCAUGAUAAAAUUACUUGAGAAUAAAAAUUUUUAAAAAAAAAGUAACUCAAAAACGAGGAAUUUUUGAGUAACUGAAGAACCAUAGAUGUUUUUUGGUCAUGAGCAAUUUUUGAGUUGACACAGAACUUGUAUAAAAAAAAUAGUUUUGAAAACUUCUUUUCUUUUUUCGUAAAUAUAGAUAUAAAAUUUUAAAAUCACCAAACACAAAACCAGGAAAAUGGAAGGAGAGCCCCUGUUUCUCCUAUGUUGCAAGCACAAAUUCGGUUUCUAAAGUUGUACCUUCUAAAUGCACCAUUUGUAUUGCUUUGUCUCCACUUGAGCUAACGGAAUUUGAUGAAAACAAAAUAAUUGAACGAUAGGGAUAAAUAUCAAAGAAGGAGCUUACAUGCCCUAUAUAUUCUCUUUGGAUGAAUAACGAAGGUGAGCUUUCAAAGUACAGAGAUUUACAUGUUUUAAUUGUCAUUUACAUUGCUGCAUGCUAAUUGCUUGAUAAAAUACCGCAACAAAUACGCAUUCUCGAUUUCUUAUAAAUUUAUUUUCUUACUCUGAAAAAAAUUGAAUGUUUAGAGAAUUUUGAAGGUUUUGGUGUAUGCAUUAAUAUUUUGAUUCUAUUUAUGUUGUUUAACUAAUGAAGAUGAUACAUCUAGCCUCUUUUUGCCCCUUGUUGUUUUUAUUCUUGUGCUUUAUAUACGGUUCAAGUGUGAUACACUUUAGUUUUUCUCAAGUGUUUGUUAGUAUUUCCCGAAGCAAAAUUUGUCACAGACUUUUAGUUCAAAAGUUGAAAUCAUAACUAACAUACUUCGAUUUUUUAUUUUCCUUUUUUCUUCGGUAUCUUUCUAUAUGGCAUUGCUUGAGAAAUUGGUGUACUUAGAUCGUAAUAUUCUGUAGAAAUAAGCCAAUAUUUCAUUAUGUACAUUGUUUAAUAUGAUAAGUAUUGUAUGGAAGUUUUACAGAUAAGCUCCUUAUAUAUUAUGCAUUAUGUUUUUAUCAUAUUGUUGCUUGGAACUUUGAAGGAUUAGCCACAGGGCUUUAGUCCUACAUGGACAUUUUAUAUUUAACAGCUGGUUAGGCAUUUUAUUUGAUGUUAUUUGGACUUGUAGGUGUUAAAAGUUUUGUUCAGUAAUUUUAUAAUUCAGAUUCCCAUUGUGAAAAGAUAGCAAUUUUUAUUGUGGGUCAGAUUCUGUCAACUGAUAUUUAGCUAAAAUAUCUCACUAACCCCUAUUGGUUAGGUGUUUUUUUUAAUUCACAUACUUGAUUUUUAUUUUCUUUUUAUCUGUGGAAUCACAUGUAUCAUUCAUAAGAAACAAGCUAUUAUAUAAUCUAUUCUUUAGAUCCAUUUAUAUGUAGUGGGCACUCUGAUUUCUAUUAUUUGAAUUUUUUGCUACUGUUACUACUCUUUCGGCCCUUCAAAUAGGGGUUAACAGAAAGGGUGAGUAUAUUAAUACAAAUUCAAACUUUCUUUUUCUAAUUUUAUCCAAAAUAACCUACUAUAUUAUUUUAAUUUCCAACUUUUGUCAUAGUCUAAUGGGCAGUUGUCUUGUCAUUAUUUGGUUUUAGGUAAGAAGAGAGAAAGUUAGUGAGAGGAUGAAAAUUUUGCAAAAACUUGUUCAUAGCUAUGGUAAUUAAGUAAUUUGAGUUCUUUUUUUUUGUUAUUGUUUUUUAUUCACUUUUUCCUGUCUUAAAACAAAUAACGAGUUUUUGUGUUUUUAAUAUUUCUUAUAAACUUCAUGUUGUUUGGUAUAAAAUUAGGUAAUUGGAAAGGUCUCAUGUUGGAUGAAAUUAUCAAUUAUGUGCAGUCCCUACAAAAUCAAGUGGUCGUCAAUGUGUCAGCAUCACUUUCUUCUUCAGAUGUUACUUGUUUUUCACAUUUAUUUUUCUCUCAGUCCUUUUUAAAAGAACAUACACACACAUACUAUGUAGAGUGACCUUUUUUAAUGAGGAAUCUGUCAUUUUAAUAAAAUGAAGAAUAAACUAAAAGGUAGAAGUACACGAACUCUAAUGCAAUAUACCUUUUCUGUUCUUUUACCUUUACUAUAAGAUAGGGAAUGAUAUAAAACUGUUCGAUAAUAGUAAGUGAAAUAAUUAAAAGGCUACUGUUCUAGCUCAUUUAAUAUAUCAAACUUUUCUAGCUCAUUUAAUAUAUCAAACUGCUCGAUAAUUGAAUUGGCCUAGUUAAACAUAAUUUUCAGAUAAUCUUUUUAAUGGUUUAUUUAUUAAUAUUUUGUUUCUUUCCAGUAUGAACACUUUGUUUUGACACGUGGUUAACAACCUUCAACGAACUCGGAACAACCUUCAUCACAUGCUUUCUCACGUGGUUACUUAAACUGAUAUGUUAAACGUGCUCCAUCCACGCCGUUUCCACUAAAUCAUUUUCUGUUAAGAAUCAGCUGAGCAGCGCGUGAGCUAAUGAAGUUUUUCGUAUUGAACUCAACUCUGCUAUUUUCCCAAAGCUGGAAAGCAGAAACAUCAUCCCUUUGGUUUUAUUUCACCUCAACCUUUUUCUGAUCCCAUUUUCAUUGUAAUUUCUCAUUUACUUUGAGUGAAAGUCAUUGUUGCUUUCGAACGAGGUUUUGCAACUAAAAAGGAAAAUGGGGCGGCUACAAUACAUGCGUGCAUCUGAUACAUGCACAAAAACUGACCAUUGGAUUAAAUGGAGUGAUCUAAUGGCUGAGAUUUGUUUCAUUAUUAAGCAAUAAAAAAAUUUGAAACAACCAGAAACCUGUAAAACCGGUCAUUUGGUUUAAGGUAAAAAUAUAUAAAUGAAAAAAAAAAAAAAAAACCCACCACUCCCUCGCCUCACCUCUCUUCUUUUGGGUUUAGUAUUGCUGCUUUUAACAUAAUUGACCUAUGGCCCAAAUCAUUUCUAUAGGGCGAAGCAUAUGAAUGAUACAUAUUAUCUUUUUUUGGCCUUAUGUCUUGUUAUUUGCAGUGUGAUUUGGUCUAGCUUAAGAGCUUAAGCUUGCAGGUUGGAUUUGUCUGACAGGGAACAAUUUAAUUUGUUCAUCGUGAUGUUUAUAUCCAUUUUGUACUACUAUCAAUUUCAAUCAUGCCUAAUUUUUAUAUGUAUUUCUCGUGGACUCUCAGGUUCAGUGCACAAGAGGAUGAAGACGAUGGACACCCAAAUUUGAUGUGGAGAACAACUAUUGCAAAUGGUCCUUGAUUUACUUCUCCAAUUGACUUGAAUUGGUUUGACGCAAUUUAUACUGUAUUUUUGUCAUCUUUGUAUGACUUGCACGUCGUCCUGAUUUGGUACAUGACUGGACACAGGAAUUGGACUCAUAUUUUUCAAACCAGAAUGCCAACAAUCAAGCAUUUUCUUUUGAAAGCACUGGCGUCUUCUUCAAUGCCAAAAAGGUUAGAGAUUUUCUGUAUCCUGUUUUGUAUUUGAUCAGUUUAGCAUGUGGGUGGCAAUCAAGAAAAGUUAUUAUAACAUUUUUGUGUUCCCGAAAAACUGCUGAUGAUGUGUGACUUCUUUUUAUUUGUAUUCUUUCUUUUUCUUUUCUCCCCAACAGUAUUAUGCAUUUCGAAGAGCUUCUUGAAGUUGAUUACCAUGUAUGCCACUUUCUUUACUCUAUGCUCAGGAUGUGAUUUUGCCAAGCAUUAAAAUGGUUUAGGUCAGAACCAUCAUCUAAAGUUUACUUAAAGUUGACGGAUUAAUUCCUUUUAAUAAUGGUCUAGUUAAUUUUACUAUACUCAUAAAACUAUUCUUAUUCUGAUAAUGCCACAAAUGUUAUGAUGUUUUCUUCAGCUAAUGAUCUUCUAUCAGGACUAGUUAGAAAUCAAAUGCUUAAAACACCGAUUGAAUGAAUAAUGCAGAAGUUUAAACAGUAUCUAAUUGAAAAUUGCAUGAAACAUGAAACAUCAAUUCAAGUCCUUCCUUAAACAAAGAAUGCAUCAAACAAAUCCAAAGUGUCUUGCAUGUCUAUAGCAUGACAAAAAAGUUGUAAAUGCGUUUAGAACCAAAUUAUUCAAGUACAGGAGAACGAGCAAGUUGAAUCAUGUACACGAGAUUGGCCUGGUUCGAGAUAGCUUCUUCACUGUACCUGAAGGGUUGGCUCAAUCUUUUCUUUAGA